UCUGGUGCCAUUUUGACCCCAUUGGGACCACUUGGGGUUCAUUUGACCCCAUUGGGCCCACCAGAACCCUAUAGGGCCAUUUGGGGGCCGUUUGGGGUUGAAUUUGGGGUCCUUUUGGGGCCAUUUGGGGUCGUUUUGGGGCCAUUGUUGGCAGCGGAACCCAUUGGAGUUCUUUUGGGGCCACUCUGGUGCCAUUUUGACCCCAUUGGGGCCAUUUUAGGGCCACUUUGGGUCCAUUUGACCCCAUUGGACCCACCAGAACCUUAUAGGGCCAUUUUAGGGCCAUUUGGGGUCGAAUUUGGGGUCCUUUUGGGGCCAUUUGGGGUCGUUUUGGGGCCAUUGUUGGCAGCGGAACCCAUUGGAGUUCUUUUGGGGCUACUCGGGUGCCAUUUUGACCCCAUUGGGGCCAUUUUAGGGCCACUUUGGGUCCAUUUGACCCCAUUGGACCCACCAGAACCUUAUAGGGCCAUUUUAGGGCCAUUUGGGGUCGAAUUUGGGGUCCUUUUGGGGCCAUUUGGGGUCGUUUUGGGGCCAUUGUUGGCAGCGGAACCCAUUGGAGUUCUUUUGGGGCUACUCUGGUGCCAUUUUGACCCCAU
rnacentral:lncRNA from 1 species